CCAGAGAUGGAUUCGUGCUCGAAAGAGAACCUGCACACAGGUGCUGCAUGGCUGUCGUCAGCUCGUGUCGUGAGAUGUUGGGUUAAGUCCCGCAACGAGCGCAACCCUUGCCAUCAGUUGCUACGAAAGGGCACUCUGAUGGGACUGCCGGUGACAAACCGGAGGAAGGUGGGGAUGACGUCAAGUCCUCAUGGCCCUUAUAGGUGGGGCUACACACGUCAUACAAUGGCCGGUACAAAGGGCAGCAAACCCGCGAGGGGGAGCCAAUCCAUCAAAGCCGGUCGUAGUCCGGAUCGCAGUCUGCAACUCGACUGCGUGAAGUCGGAAUCGCUAGUAAUCGUGGAUCAGCAUGUCACGGUGAAUACGUUCCCGGGUCUU
rnacentral:rRNA from 1 species